rnacentral:rRNA from 1 species
GGCGAUGUUUCAUUCAAAUUUCUGCCCUAUCAACUUUCGACGGUAGGGUAGUGGCCUACCGUGGUGGUAACGGGUGACGGAGGAUUAGGGUUCGAUUCCGGAGAGGGAGCCUGAGAAACGGCUACCACAUCCAAGGAAGGCAGCAGGCGCGCAAAUUACCCAAAUCCCAACUCGGGGAGGUAGUGACAAGAAAUAACGAUGCUCCGGCCAUCGGUCGGGUAAUCGGAAUGAGAACAAUUUAAAUCCCUUAUCGAGGAUCAAUUGGAGGGCAAGUCUGGUGCCAGCAGCCGCGGUAAUUCCAGCUCCAAUAGCGUAUAUUUAAGUUGCUGCGGUUAAAAAGCUCGUAGUCGGAUUUCGGGUGGCGCCUACCGGUCCGCCUUUGGUGAGUACUGGUAGGUACCACCUUUCUGCCGAGGACGGGGUACUGGGCUUAGUUGUCUGGGCCUCGGAGUCGGCGAUGUCACUUUGAGUAAAUUAGGGUGUUCAAAGCAGGCUUAUGCUCUGUAUACACUAGCAUGGGAUGACACGAUAGGACUUCGGUUUAUCUUGUCGGUCUGUAGAUCGGAGUAAUGAUUAAGAGGGACAGUCGGGGGCAUUCGUAUUUCGUAGUCAGAGGUGAAAUUCUUGGAUUUACGGAAGACGAACUUCUGCGAAAGCAUUUGCCAAGGAUGUUUUCAUUGAUCAAGAACGAAAGUCGGGGGCUCGAAGACGAUUAGAUACCGUCGUAGUCUCGACCAUAAACGAUGCCGAC